rnacentral:rRNA from 1 species
ACUGCUCAGUAACACGUGGAUAACCUGCCCUAGGGGAGGGGAUAACCCCGGGAAGCUGGGGAUAAUACCCUAUAGGUUACAGAUGCUGGAAUGCCCUGUAACCAAAAGCUCCGGCGCCCUAGGAUGGAUCUGCGGCCGAUUAGGUUGUUGUUGGGGUAACGGCCCAACAAGCCCGUAAUCGGUACGGGUUGUGGGAGCAAGAGCCCGGAGUUGGAUUCUGAGACACGAAACCAGGCCCUACGGGGCGCAGCAGGCGCGAAACCUUUACAAUGCGGGCAACCGUGAUAAGGGAACCUCGAGUGCCUGUAAACGCAGGCUGUUCAGGUGUUUAAAACGCACCUGGAGAAAGGGCCGGGCAAGACCGGUGCCAGCCGCCGCGGUAAUACCGGCGGCUCGAGUGGUGGCCGCUUUUAUUGGGCUUAAAGCGUUCGUAGUUGGGUUGUUAAGUCUCUUGGGAAAUCUGGCGGCUUAACCGUCAGGCGUCAAAGGGAUACUGGCAAUCUUGGAACCGGGAGAGGUGAGGGGUACUUCGGGGGUAGGGGUGAAAUCCUGUAAUCCUCGAGGGACCACCUGUGGCGAAGGCGCCUCACCAGAACGGCUUCGACAGUGAGGGACGAAAGCUAGGGGAGCAAACCGGAUUAGAUACCCGGGUAGUCCCAGCCGUAAACGAUGCGCGUUAGGUGUAUCGGUGACCACAAGUUACCGAGGUGCCGAAGGGAAACCGUGAAACGCGCCACCUGGGAAGUACGGUCGCAAGGCUGAAACUUAAAGGAAUUGGCGGGGGAGCAC